AACGUAGGACGCAAGCGUUAUCCGGAGUUACUGGGCGUAAAGGGCGUGUAGGCGGCGUCUCAAGUUCGUCGUGAAAGACCCCGGCUCAACCGGGGGCAGUCGAGGGAGACUGAGGCGCUGGAGGACGGUAGAGGGACAGGGAAUUCCGGGUGUAGUGGUGAAAUGCGUAGAGAUCCGGAGGAACACCAGUGGCGAAGGCGCUGUCCUGGGCCGCACCUGACGCUGAGACGCGACAGCAUGGGGAGCGAACGGG
rnacentral:rRNA from 1 species